AUUGAACGCUGGCGGCAGGCCUAACACAUGCAAGUCGAGCGGAUGAAGGGAGCUUGCUCCUGGAUUCAGCGGCGGGCGGGUGAGUAAUGCCUAGGAAUCUGCCUGGUAGUGGGGGAUAACGUCCGGAAACGGGCGCUAAUACCGCAUACGUCCUGAGGGAGAAAGUGGGGGAUCUUCGGACCUCACGCUAUCAGAUGAGCCUAGGUCGGAUUAGCUAGUUGGUGGGGUAAAGGCCUACCAAGGCGACGAUCCGUAAUUGGUCUGAGAGGAUGAUCAGUCACACUGGAACUGAGACACGGUCCAGACUCCUACGGGAGGCAGCAGUGGGGAAUAUUGGACAAUGGGCGAAAGCCUGAUCCAGCCAUGCCGCGUGUGUGAAGAAGGUCUUCGGAUUGUAAAGCACUUUAAGUUGGGAGGAAGGGCAGUAAGUUAAUACCUUGCUGUUUUGACGUUACCAACAGAAUAAGCACCGGCUAACUUCGUG
rnacentral:rRNA from 1 species